rnacentral:lncRNA from 1 species
GGGGACUUGGAGUCUGCUCACUGCAACGACCUUAGAAUGGAGCUGGGCAUCCUGGGCCCCAGUCACCCCAGUGAAUGAACAAACCGGCCCGGGGACCCCCUCCUGGGAUGCCGGGAGGAUUAGGCGAACCAUGGGGCAGGUGGCCAGAAAGGAAAACGGGGAGGCACCCGGAAGAGCAGCAGGCAGCUCUCCCUGCAGAAGGAACACAAGACUCGGAGGACAUGGGGCGCCUGGACCUGGAGCGAGCAUGAGGCUGCGCAGGGAAGCAGAGCCAGGAUGGGGUGCUAGCGCCUGGUGGCCUGAAAUGUACCACAGCUACCACCGUAAUGACGCGAGUUACCAUAAUUACCCAGAAUGGCUGCAAUGGAUGCUCCCUGCUCAGCGCCCUCCUAGACACAGAUGCUGCUGGGGCAGGAGACACCUGCCACUCAUGGCUUUGUGUCACCUUGCCAUCCGUCACCAGGUCUCACUCCUGACCCUCCAACCCUCGCCGUCCUCCCUCCCCUCUGCCAACCCUAAAGGCCAGGCCUCUGGCAGCUUCUUGGCAAAGUGGCGGCCUCUCCUUACUACCCUCCACACCUGCCCCUCAUAGCCAUUUCCAGCCAGGGGCCAAAAUGACCACGUCCAAUCGUGAAUCCCAUCCCUGGCUUACCUGCCAGGCUGAUGAACAAGCCACCGACAUCCAUGUGCCGGCUCAAAAUCAAGCCCGGGAGAAACCCACGAGCUGCCAGGCAACACCAACCAUGGCUGUGAUUCAUGGACCUCUUCUCAACCUGCCUGGCAACACUUGAGUGCUGAAGGAUAUACACAUGCCCCUCUUCUUGCAAGUGGCCCACUCAGACCCCAGCCUCCCUCAGCCCACUCUGCUGCCCCUGCACUCCACAGUCACUGCC